CGUAGGGUGCAGGCGUUAAUCGGAAUUACUGGGCGUAAAGCGUGCGCAGGCGGUUUGCUAAGACAGGUGUGAAAUCCCCGGGCUUAACCUGGGAACUGCGCUUGUAACUGGCAAGCUAGAGUGUGGCAGAGGGGGGUGGAAUUCCACGUGUAGCAGUGAAAUGCGUAGAGAUGUGGAGGAACACCGAUGGCGAAGGCAGCCCCCUGGGCUAACGCUGACGCUCAUGCACGAAAGCGUGGGGAGCAAACAGGAUUAGAUACCCUGGUAGUCCACGCCCUAAACUAUGUCAACUGGUUGUCGGGGAAGCAAUUCCUUGGUAACGAAGCUAACGCGUGAAGUUGACCGCCUGGGGAGUACGGUCGCAAGGUUA
rnacentral:rRNA from 1 species